ACUUUAUCUGCCGGAGAUAAAUUUUUGUAAUUUUUAUUGAAACUCCAAUUUGUGAAAUUUUUAAAAAAACUCUUUAAGAUAAAUGAACCGAGAGGGACUUACAAUUAAUUUAAAGCAAACAAAAGUUGUACCUUUUGUAUCAGGGGUGGAAGAAAAAAUUAUUGAUUAAUAUAAUCCCGAAAGAGAGUGAUCGAUUUGAAUUGAUGGUUAAAGUGAAAUGUUUUAUCAAAAAAGUUCAGAUAGAAAUGAAAUGUUUUCAAACUCUCAUGUAUCUGGUUUUCGAGAAAAGAAAUUUAAUUUCACGUUUAAAUUUAUGAAUUUAAACUGAUAAUUUUUAAGGGAUAAGCUUUAAAAAUAAAAAUUUAACAGUAUUUUAUUUUUCCCUCUUUUAAAGAGAGGGAAAGUAAAUAAAUUGAUUUAUUUUUGUUAAUUCUUUCUACUUGAAAAAUAUUUCUAAUACUAUUAUAAUAUAAUAUAAUUUUUUCAUUAGUAUUUGUGUAAGAUCUAUUAUAAGGAACUCGGCAAAAAAAAGCCUGCCUGUUUAUUAAAAACAUCUCUUCAAGGAAGAAUUUAAAGUAGGCCCUGCCCAAUGCAUUAUGUCAAUGGCUGCAGAAUUUUAACUGUACAAAGGUAGCAUAAUAAUUUGUUCCUUAAUUGGGAACUGGAAUGAAAGGGUUGACAAGGCUUAAUCUGUCUCAUUUUGGAGAAAAAAAAUUGAACUUGGAGUAAAAAUGCUCCAAUUAAGAAGGGGGACGAGAAGACCCUGUAGACCUUUAGUAAGAGACUUUUCCUGGGGAAGGACUUGUUUACAAAUAACGGCUAAAAAAAAACUAAUGGGUUAAUGAUCCAUAAUAAUUAUGAUAAGGAGAAAAAGGUACCUCAGGGAUAACAGCAUAAUACUUUGAAAAUAGACCAAAUAUAAUUAAAGGCUUAUGACCUCGAUGUUGAAUUAAGACUUAUGGAUGGAGGAAAAAUUAUCCAAUAUGGUCUGUUCGACCAUUAAAGUCUUACAUGAUUUGAGUUUAGACCGAUGUAAAUCAGGUCAGAUUCUAUCUCCUUUUUACAAUUUCUUUUUAGUACGAAAGGAACCAUAAAGAAAAGAUUAGAUUUU
rnacentral:rRNA from 1 species